rnacentral:lncRNA from 1 species
CGUUUCCUUCUCUGCCGGAUCUCCACAGCGCCUCGCCGUUUCCGCCGAGCCCCCGCGCCGCUGCCCGCCGCGCGCCGCCCUGCUGCCUGCGUCGUGCCUGUGCCUCCCGGAUCCGCCCUCUGCUGCCAGCGCCGGAUUCGUCCACUACCAGCGCCGGAUCCAUCCGCCGCCACCGGUCCUCUCCGCCACUGCACCGGUCCUCCUCCUUCGGCCUCAAGUUCACACCGCCUCUCAGUCAGCCAUCCCGCGCCCGAACGCCCAGCGGCCCCCUGCUGCCUGCGCCGCUGCCUGUGCCUCCCCGGAUCCGCGCCUCUGCUGCCAGCGCCGGAUUCGUCCACUACCAGCGCCGGAUCCAUCCGCCACCCGCGACCAGUCGCCGCCGGUUUCAGCGCAGACGCCCGGGCCGCACCGAUCAGCCUCCUCCGUCAGCAGCGCUGCAAGUUUGUAGCAGACGUCUUCUCCAGCUACAUCAGUCCGGCAGCAGCAGUGCGAUUCUUGAGCCUUCACAGCAGCAGCCAGCAGAUUCGCAGCCCUGAGGUCUCUGCCGGCCCACCUUCGCUCACAGAUCCGCCGCCCAGAAGCCCAUUCCGGCCACGCCCAACGCACCGUGCCACUCACCCACGACCAGUCGCCACUGCUGUCACGCCGCUUUGUCCCAACCGAACGGGCAGUCAGUCCUACCUCUUUUAAAGCUAAGUUCUACUACCUUAUCUCGGGUGAUGUUCAGUUGAUAUGGAGGCGAACUGAAUUGAGCAAUUGAGACAGCAAAUUACCUUGAAUGUUUUCAAGCAGAUGGGUUGUUGUUGGGGUUGAA